GCUUACUUUGGCGGGGCAAAUUCUAAAGUUGGGACAACACAGAGAAGAUUAGCAUGGCCCCAGGGCAAGGGUGAUAUGUAAAUUCGUGAAGUAUUUCGUAUUUUU
rnacentral:snRNA from 1 species